rnacentral:lncRNA from 1 species
ACCAUUACCAAGCCCACCUCACGAUGAUACGAUGUUGGUUAGCAAAAAUAAUGAUGAGAGAAUAACGCUUUAGUCAUUUACAACUCUUGUAAUUACCUAUCUAGUUUGGCCUCUAGAGAAUGAUGACUCACAAUGAUAUGAUGUUGACACCAUUGCACUUAGUUAAGUUAUUCCCACCAUGCUAGUUCGUGUAGGGGUUCAAGAAUAGCCUCACAAUCAUAUGAUGUCGGCCAUCCUCGUUGCCUACCUCACUACAUCAUGUAUGUUCAUAUGGACUCCUCUUGAAUGUAAGCACAUACUUUGAACUUCCCCAUGAUAGGGUGAAGCCGGUGUAGGAGUCACAAACGAUUGGAGCCCACCAUAGUGGAAGGCCUACGAAGAGAUGUUCAAAGCAUCUCUCGCUUAUCAACUUAAUAUUCAUUU